CAGAAAAUAAUUUAAUUUAAAAUCUUAAUUUUGGAAAUUAAAAAUAAAAUAAGCCUUUUUAUUCUGA
rnacentral:tRNA from 1 species